rnacentral:rRNA from 1 species
UACGAAGGGGGCUAGCGUUGUUCGGAAUUACUGGGCGUAAAGCGCACGUAGGCGGACUAUUAAGUCAGGGGUGAAAUCCUGGAGCUCAACUCCAGAACUGCCUUUGAUACUGGCGGUCUCGAGUCCGGGAGAGGUGAGUGGAACUGCGAGUGUAGAGGUGAAAUUCGUAGAUAUCGUAAGGAAGACCAGUGGCGAAGGCGGGUCUCUGGACAGUUCCUGACGCUGAGGCACGAAGGUCAGGGGAGCAAACGGG